GGCCAGCGGCGACCAAUCAAUGCGUAGGGCAGGUUAUAAAUUUGGGAGGAGGGCGGUGCUGUGGAAGUGGCGCAGCAAAGCGAGAAUAUAGCAAAGCGGCAAAAAUGGCACGGCACGUCGUUUGUCGCGCCUCUGCCUCAAGUCCGUCCCUCUCCUAGACUCCUUGUGGUGGCUGGUUCCCAUCUCUAUUUUACGUCUUCUCGCUGUUUGGCCCUGGCAGCAAGAUAAGGAAGAGUUCAUACUGCUCUUGGUGGCUUUUCCUCUCAGGCAGCACAGCAGCCACAAAAGGGUGGCUUAGCACCAUUGACCGUUGUUGCACUGCCCAGGCAGUUGAAGCACCCACCAUGGGUCACACUCAUGUUGUGAGAGGGAGUGUUUGUACCAUGUAGCGUCAACAAGCCUUUGUACCAGCUCUUGAUGCUGUGCUGCCACGGUGGAAGCGGGGGGAAGCUGUAGAACCAACUGCUGCCUGUCCUACAUCUUCUCCAAGCUUGCUUGAUCCCUAAAGAUACCACUCAGCCUUUGGUAAUCGCCAGAACCAGAGCAGAAGGCCAGGGAGCAGUUUCCUGCCCUCUUUAGCAUUUUGGACAAAAAAGAACGUGGCAACAUAAGCCAUCCAUCUUCCAGGAGUGGGAAUGGAGAAGACAACACAGGUGUAAUAGCCUGCUCCGUUGAGAAACAGGAACAGAGAAGAAGGUAUCCGUCUAAUCUCCACCCUUUUUCAUGAUUGGGAACAGAGAUGAAAGUGUGGGCCUAGUUUCCAACCUUAUUUCUGCAGAAUGGGGGAAAAAAAGCAGAGGUCUAGUUCCCCACUCUGCCUCUCGAAGUGGCAUCAGAAUUCAUGAGUCCUUAUCCCUGCUUGAUUGUCUACAAGGUAAAGAUGGGAUUUGUGGUUUUAAGGUCUCAUCCAAAGAUCUCCUACACCGUACACUGAAUGGAAUUCAGUUUAUCUUUUUCAGAAAGAUAAGGACUGAUUCGGUGCUGUCGGGGUUUUAAAUGUGUGGUUCCUGUGUAGCGCUUGGUAAUUUGGGCGUCCCAUCUAGCUAUGUGCUUGUGUCUGAACAUUUAUAGUUCUUCAGUAACUAGUACUAAUAACAAAAACUGAAAAUAAGAGCUACUGUGAGGAUUUUGUCACCAAUUUUAUGCUGACUACUGGAUAUUUCACUUAAGGAGUGUAUUCUUAAAUAGUUACAUUCACUAUUGCAUCAUUUAGAAAUGUCACUCAUUUCGUCCCAGUAUUUAGAUUCCACACAAAUUUGGUCUGCUCAAUUCUGUUUAAAUAACUUGCAUCAGAAAUAAUUAAUCAUGAAACUGAGAUUAUAGAUUUUUACACCAAGAGAAUUAAUCCUACAUCACCAGCAUCUGCAAACAAUGUGUUCUACCACCUACAGUUCAUUGAGACUUUCCUGGUGGACCAGUGACCUAGGCUUGGUAAUAACACUUCUGUAUUCUCCUGACAACACUACAGCAAUGCAGUCUACCUACACACCCUCAUCAACCCUCUGGAAACUCCCAAGUACAGAAUGCAGCAGCACAUCUCAGCAACAAGGUCUGCAAUGAGUAUAUCAAACCUAUCCAGUCUUCACUAUACUUAUUUCCCAUAAAAUAUCAUGUCAGAUUCAAGAUCUCAAUCCUCACUUUCAAGAUAUUGAACACUGUUACCCUAAAGGUCACAAAGUUUUAGGAUGAGGACUGUUCAACAGCUUCAGACCUCUGCCACAAUGGAAUUGUUUACCACAAGAACAAAGCUUGUUUAUCCAGGAGGCAGCUUUCUCACAUGCCUGCCCCAGAAAGGAAUAAACUCAGAAUCUAAAUCCCCUACUCCCAUUAAACUUAGUCUUCUGAUCCAAGUGCAAAACCCACUUUGGUCUUACCUUGUAAUAUAAACACACAGCACAGUAUACUGGUACAAAUAAUUUAAAACAGAAUAGUUCAUAAUUGUAUCCCUCUGGGAAGAAGAUGAAAGAAAGAAAGAACCAUACAUGGUAGAUAUUUGUUACUUAAUGCACUUUUGUAAGGUGCAUAGGUACUGCAAUACUGAAGGCAGUGUAACAUAUUGAAUACAAAUAGAAUAAUCAUUUAAAAUUUUCUGCAUGAAUAAUUUUCUGUCUCCUUCAUAUUGGGUCCCAUAUUUGUGCCUUGGAAAGUUGAAAGGUAUGCUGUGUGGCAUUUUCAGAAGCUGCCCUCUCUUCAGAAUGUGUGCCCUUGCUCCAGAAAUAGUUCUAAGAAAGCAGCUCUGGCUAUGGUAAACAGCUUUAGACAUGAAAGAAAUACAUUGUAGGAGAUUGAAGAUAUUUCUUUGCCUGAAUCCAUUAAAUACUUUAAAAAGUGGGACAAAAUUAUUUCCUGCAUAAUAUUUGUGAACUGAGAAGCAUUUCAGCAUGGUAGCAUGGUUUGAGUUCUUUGCUGCUGCUUCACUUUUGUUUGUUCUUCAUAAAAUUUCUUCAACUGCGCUAGCUGCUUCAUUGGAGAAUGUGGGGCAUAUUGGGUCCUCGUUGCAUAAAUUGCUUCGGUAGUCUCUGAUGAAAGCAACUACAAAAAUGGAAAGUGUUAUUUACUCAAAAGAAAGGAACUGCCACAUUGGAUCAGACCUGGGGUCCAUCUAAGUCCAGUAUCUUUUCUCUGACAACGGCCACCACCAGAUACUUCAGAAGAAGAUACAAGAUACCCCACAGAAGGUGUCCCAAAAGGGUCAGUUCAGUGAUAGACUGAAGGAGGCUAGCCCAUGGAGGAUUCUAAGUGACCCACGUUAAAAUUCUGUUACCAAAUUGAAUGGCAGGUUAGAAUGAUUUCUCUGUCUCCACUGGACUUAACCCCAACCUCUGCAAACUGCUAGAUCUGACAAAAAUGAAAAAAGGAAGCCAUUUUAAAGCAUAUCAGCUCCUGCUGCUCUAACCUGCAAAUGAUUUUGUAAGAUGUCUCAACUUUUAAGAAAAAGCUAAUUGCACUGUCCUGUAAUAUUAGAGCUAAGUCUGCCUUCUGAUAUUGCAUGAACCAGGCAAUCUGACCAUGCACAACAAUACUGGAUCGAUAAAUUCUAAUAACUAAAAGGGGGCUAAUGAUGCUGAGUCAUCUCUUGCCUAUCACAGCAAACCACCAUCAACUUUAUGUUGCAUUUCCUGGAAGAUAUCUUCAAGAUCAAGAACGCAGUUCAUUAAAGAAAAAGGCCUCAUCUGAAGCAGCUUGGGACAUCAAGAGUUUCUGGCCAUAUAUGGAUCUUUUGGUUUAUACAGGACAUGAAAGAGAGCCUAUCCAGGCAUCCCUCAUCCAUAACACAGGAUCUCCAGCUCAAGAUUCCUCCUUGAUCUCAUCUUUCACAUGGGGAAAGAGGUGACCUCUCAAACUGGAAAGUCUCAGAUCAUUUAGAAAAGAAAUACCAUCUUAAUUAAAUAAAUUGCAUCCAGAAACCAAACAGGCAGCUAGCACAGAUCAGAGAACAGUUUCCAAAUUGAUUUAAAAAUACAGCCCAAAGUAGAGCACAUUACAGUAAUCUAAUCUUGAGGUGAAAACAAUGACUAGGGUUUUCAAAGGGGCCAAAGGGAGUCAGGCACCCAAAUCCCAAUGAAUUUUAAUGAGUGGGGGGCACUUAACUCCCCGAGGUCCUCUUCAAUAUCCCAAUCAGAAUGGACAACAGUAGCAGAGGUCACAUCUGAAACAAAUAGUCCCAGCCUCCUUCCCAGAGAGGUAGACAGAAGAUUUUUAUCCAUCUACAUGAGAUUUAUCUAUCAAAGUAACCCGAGCAGUCUCUGUGGCAUGACCAGGUCUGUACCCACAUUCAAAAGGGACAAAGAGAUCUGAGGCAGCUAGAUACUUUGAACUGUCUUGCAAAAACCUUCUCAUUUUUGAUGUUCUGUUUUGCCUAGGAAUUUAGAGACGCAGAUUUACAAAGAAUGGUUUAUACUUCCAAAUAAUAUUAAUAAAUACAUACUUUCUAUUAGAGCUGGUUGAAAUCUUUCCAUUAUAGAAAACUUUAAAUAAAAUGGUGAAAAAACUAUUUUUUUAAAUUCCAUUACAUUUUGUACAGGAUUUGGAACCAAGUUUACUUUGUAUGAAUAUAGCACUUCUCAUCUGUAUGUCUCUAAGAACUUUAUGAAGGAAACUCUUUGUCCAUUGUGCUUCAUAAUUCCUUCUGUGUUGGCAUAAUUAUUUUUCAGCAUUUUUUUUUCAAAUCCAUAAUGAAACACACUUCCUAUUUAAACUGGUCAUUUUAUCAAAACUCUAACCAUAAUAGGAUGAGAGACUGAAAAAUCUUCUUACCAAAUGUUCUAAUACCAAAUACUAAAUUGUGGCAUUACCACUGAGAUUAAGAACAACCAGGAUGAUUAGAAAUCUUUUAUUUAGUUAUAAAUAAACCAUCACAGAAACUUCUUAAGAUAAAGACAGGGUGGAGAGUGAGACUGAUUCAGUCAUAUAAACUUAUUUCCAUGUCACCCUUGAAAUCCUACUUUUGAUUUUUCCAUAAAUGUAUCAUCUCAUUCACCUUUCUAUUAAAAACCAGUGGCAUAGAUUUCUGAUUUCAACUUAAACACCACAACCAUAA